GUUAUAGGGUCAAGCGAAUAAGUGCAUGUGGUGGAUGCCUUGGCGAUUACAGGCGAUGAAGGACGCGAUAGCCUGCGAAAAGUUGUGGGGAGCUGGCAAAUAAGCAUUGAUCCACAAAUGUCCGAAUGGGGAAACCCGGCCUUUUAGGUCAUCCUGGACUGAAUACAUAGGUCCAGCGAAGCGAACGCGGCGAACUGAAACAUCUAAGUAGCUGCAGGAAAAGAAAUCAACCGAGAUUCCCAAAGUAGUGGCGAGCGAAAUGGGACCAGCCUUCAAGAUUUAGCACCGGUGUUAUCAAAACGGAAUGGAAAGUCCGGCCAUAGUGGGUGAUAGCCCCGUAUGAGAAAGCCCUGGUGUGGAACUAAGCUUGAGAAAAGUAGGGCGGGACACGUGAAAUCCUGUCUGAAGAUGGGGGGACCAUCCUCCAAGGCUAAAUACUCGUAAUCGACCGAUAGUGAACCAGUACCGUGAGGGAAAGGCGAAAAGAACCCCGGGAGGGGAGUGAAAUAGAUCCUGAAAC
rnacentral:rRNA from 1 species